rfam:Gossypium hirsutum cultivar TM-1 unplaced genomic scaffold scaffold480.1, whole genome shotgun sequence
AGCUCAAGAUGAGGGAACCUUCUUAAAAAAUCCUUAAAUCUCUCUCAUGUAUCAUACAAUGUCUCAAACUCAAAUUGAGAAAAAAAAUAGAUGUCAUUCCUCAACUU